rnacentral:rRNA from 1 species
AACGCGAAGAACCUUACCUACUCUUGACAUCCUGCGAAUCAGACGUAAUGGUUUGAGUGCCGAAAGGAGCGCAGAGACAGGUGCUGCAUGGCUGUCGUCAGCUCGUGUUGUGAGAUGUUGGGUUAAGUCCCGUAACGAGCGCAACCCUUGUCCUUAGUUACCAGCACGUUAUGGUGGGGACUCUAAGGAGACUGCCGGUGAUGAACCGGAGGAAGGCGGGGACGACGUCAAGUCAUCAUGGCCUUUAUGAGUAGGGCCACACACGUGCUACAAUGGGGCGUACAGAAGGAAGCCAACCCGCGAGGGGGAGCCAAUCCAACAAAGCGCCUCGUAGUCCGGAUUGAAGUCUGCAACUCGACUUCAUGAAGUUGGAAUCGCUAGUAAUCGCGAAUCAGCCAUGUCGCGGUGAAUACGUUCCCGGGCCUUGUACACACCGCACGA